rnacentral:rRNA from 1 species
AUUGAACGCUGGCGGCAUGCCUUACACAUGCAAGUCGAACGGUAACGCGGGGCACCCUGGCGACGAGUGGCGAACGGGUGAGUAAUGCAUCGGAACGUGCCCAGUAGUGGGGGAUAGCCCGGCGAAAGCCGGAUUAAUACCGCAUACGACCUAUGGGUGAAAGCGGGGGAUCGCAAGACCUCGCGCUAUUGGAGCGGCCGAUGUCAGAUUAGGUAGUUGGUGGGGUAAAGGCCUACCAAGCCGACGAUCUGUAGCUGGUCUGAGAGGACGACCAGCCACACUGGGACUGAGACACGGACCAGACGCCUACGGGAGGCAGCAGUGGGGAAUUUUGGACAAUGGGGGAAACCCUGAUCUAGCCAUGCCGCGUGCGGGAAGAAGGCCUUCGGGUUGUAAACCGCUUUUGUCAGGGAAGAAACGCUCUGGGUUAAUACCUCGGAGUAAUGACGGUACCUGAAGAAUAAGCACCGGCUAACUACGUGCCAGCCGCCGCCGUAACAC